GACUCUUCACUCUGUGACCAGACGAGCUGGCAGCUUUCACGGCUGUAACGAGAUUGGAACUCGUCCAUGUGGGUCAGAGGAACGAUGGAAAGGUAACAGUCCGGCAGAGAGCAGGUGGAAGUGAGCAGCAUAAGUACUGAGGGGGUGAGUGGAGAUCAAGGAUCAGCUGAGCAGAUCAAGCAGUCUGUAAUUUCUGGCCUUCAUCAACAUCAAAAAAGGGGAAAAAGCUUAUAAGAAUUUUUCAUGACCUUCAAUAGUAAGUAGUUAUUUUUCAUGCAGA